rnacentral:rRNA from 1 species
AUUGAACGCUGGCGGAAUGCUUUACACAUGCAAGUCGAACGGCAGCACGGGUGCUUGCACCUGGUGGCGAGUGGCGAACGGGUGAGUAACAUAUCGGAACGUACCCAGUAAUGGGGGAUAACUAACCGAAAGGUUAGCUAAUACCGCAUACGCCCUGAGGGGGAAAGCGGGGGACCGUAAGGCCUCGCGUUAGUGGAGCGGCCGAUAUCUGAUUAGCUAGUUGGUAGGGUAAAGGCCUACCAAGGCGACGAUCAGUAGCAGGUCUGAGAGGAUGAUCUGCCACACUGGAACUGAGACACGGUCCAGACUCCUACGGGAGGCAGCAGUGGGGAAUUUUGGACAAUGGGCGAAAGCCUGAUCCAGCCAUUCCGCGUGAGUGAAGAAGGCCUUCGGGUUGUAAAGCUCUUUCGGCAGGGAAGAAACGGUCUAGGUUAAUACCUUGGGCUAAUGACGGUACCUGAAGAAGAAGCACCGGCUAACUACGUGCCAGCCGCCGCAGUAA